rnacentral:rRNA from 1 species
AGUGAACGCUGGCGGUAGGCCUAACACAUGCAAGUCGAACGGCAGCACAGUAAGAGCUUGCUCUUACGGGUGGCGAGUGGCGGACGGGUGAGGAAUACAUCGGAAUCUACUUUUUCGUGGGGGAUAACGUAGGGAAACUUACGCUAAUACCGCAUACGACCUACGGGUGAAAGCAGGGGAUCUUCGGACCUUGCGCGAUUGAAUGAGCCGAUGUCGGAUUAGCUAGUUGGCGGGGUAAAGGCCCACCAAGGCGACGAUCCGUAGCUGGUCUGAGAGGAUGAUCAGCCAACUGGAACCUGGAACCCGUCCCGGACUCCUACGGAGGGCAGAGGUGGGAAUUUUUGACCAAGGGGGGCAAGCCUGACCCAGCCAUCCGGGGUGGUUGAAGAGGCCCUCCGGUUGUAAAAGCCUUUUGUUGGGGAAAAAAAGGCGGAAGGUUAAUACCCGGUGUUCCGGCGGUAACCAAAAGAUUAGCCACGGCUUACCUCGUU